GGGGGUGUCAAGGUUUCGACUGCGAGAUGCAGAGUCAUGGGUUGCAGGUGGAGCGGUUAACUCCUUAAACUGCCACAAACAAUAACUGCUGACAAUUACGAAGCAGACUACGCAAUCGCGGCUUAAUUAAGCCUCGUCGGGUACCCGGGAUGCCGCCUUGAAGCCCGGUGUGCUUGUAAUAAACCAGGGCUUACCUGAGCAGAGGCCUGUGCUGCCCGGGGACAUUCAAGCAGGCUCUGGAAUCGGGAAGGGCUGCCGGCUCUCCUCACCCGGUCCGAGAUUAAAGAGACGGCUAAACCUGUAGAGAUCUAUGGCAUGCCUUGUAGGACGCGGGUUCGACUCCCGCCACCUCCAUUA
rnacentral:tmRNA from 1 species